rnacentral:misc_RNA from 1 species
GAAACCAUGGCACAUAGCACACAAUAUGACUGGAGUCAAAUAACAAAUCAAUAUUUUAAUUUUAAAAUAUAUUGACUAAUGAAGCAAAUUUUUAUGAUCUUUUAUAAAUAUAUAACUAAUUAUUGUUUAAACUGAAAAGCAAAGGUUAUUGCAUUAUGAAACUUUACUGGUUUUUUAUUUUAAAAAUAGAGUUUCUUAAGCCACCAUUAUGGUAAAAGAUGCCAUGUAAAGACCCUUUCACAAUGGUAGUAAUGGCAACUGUUAUUGAAGAUGCACUUGAUUCUCCCAAAUCCGAUUACUUU